rnacentral:rRNA from 1 species
GGGAAAUUGGGUCUAAUACCGGAUAUGCCUUUCCAUCGCAUGGUGGUUGGUGGAAAGCUUUUGUGGUUUUGGAUGGACUCGCGGCCUAUCAGCUUGUUGGUGAGGUAAUGGCUUAACAAGGAGACGACGGGUAGCCGGCCUGAGAGGGUGACCGGCCACACUGGGUCUGAGACACGGCCCAGACUCCUACGGGAGGCAGCAGUGGGGAAUAUUGCACAAUGGGCGCAAGCCUGAUGCAGYGACGCCGCAUGAGGGAUGACAGGCCUUCGGGUUGUAAACCUCUUUCAGUAGGGAAGAAGCGAAAGUGACGGUACCUGCAGAAGAAGCGCCGGCUAACUACGUGCCAGCAGCCGCGGUAAUACGUAGGGCGCAAGCGUUAUCCGGAAUUAUUGGGCGUAAAGAGCUCGUAGGCGGUUUGUCGCGUCUGCCGUGAAAGUCCGGGGCUCAACUCCGGAUCUGCGGUGGGUACGGGCAGACUAGAGUGAUGUAGGGGAGACUGGAAUUCCUGGUGUAGCGGUGAAAUGCGCAGAUAUCAGGAGGAACACCGAUGGCGAAGGCAGGUCUCUGGGCAUUAACUGACGCUGAGGAGCGAAAGCAUGGGGAGCGAACAGGAUUAGAUACCCUGGUAGUCCAUGCCGUAAACGUUGGGCACUAGGUGUGGGGGACAUUCCACGUUUUCCGCGCCGUAGCUAACGCAUUAAGUGCCCCGCCUGGGGAGUACGGCCGCAAGGCUAAAACUCAAAGGAAUUGACGGGGGCCCGCACAAGCGGCGGAGCAUGCGGAUUAAUUCGAUGCAACGCGAAGAACCUUACCAAGGCUUGACAUGGACCGGACCGCCGCAGAAAUGUGGUUUCCCCUUUGGGGCUGGUUUACAGGUGGUGCAUGGUUGUCGUCAGCUCGUGUCGUGAGAUGUUGGGUUAAGUCCCGCAACGAGCGCAACCCUCGUUCUAUGUUGCCAGCACGUGAUGGUGGG